rnacentral:ncRNA from 1 species
UUAUUUUUAAUCUAUACUUAGUAAGAUAUUUGGGCGGUUGGGGUGGUAAGCUUAUGAAGGUUUAAAUCAUGGGGAUUAUAAGAAUUUGAUUUUGGUUUUAUUUUGUACGUUAUUGUAAAAAUUGUAUGAAAAUUAUAGUGUGAUUAAGAGUAGCAUUAAAUAUGGUAUUUAAGAUAAGAUGGAAAUGUUAAUAAUUAAUAUUUAAAUCUCAGCAUAGAUUAUUAAUUUAUUAAUAUAUGAAAGUAUGAAUUAGUUGCAAUAGAAAAUUUUGAUUAAUGUUUGUGCCAGCUUUCGCGGUUAUACUUCAAAAAUAUGUAGAAAAGUUAGGGAUUAGUUAAAUGUAAUUUCUUUUGUCUAUGUUAAUUAAAAGGUAAAAUUAAUAUAAUAUUUUAUAGAAAAAAUAAAUUAAAAUUGAAGCUAAAAAAUUUGAGUUAUAGACUAGGAUUAGAUACCCUAUUAUUCUCAGAUAAAUUAAUUCCUGGGUUAGUAGUAGAUAUCUACUUAAAAGUUAAAAGAUUUGGCGGUAAUUUAAUCUUUCCAGAGGAACUUGUUUUUUAAUCGAUAAUCCGCGAAAUAUCUUGCUUAUUUAUAUAGAGUUUGUAUACCAUCAUUAUCAGGUAAUUUUAGAAAAAUAAAUUACUAAAAAUAAAAGAUUAAAAAAAUUAGAUCAUGGUGCAGCUGAUGAGUAAGUCAAAAUGAGUUACAAUAAAACUUUUUAUACGGAGAAAUAAAAGAAUUUUUAUUUAGAAGGAGGAUUUGGUUGUAUUUGGGGGUUAAUACGCCUUAAAGAUGAUAGCUCUAAAUUAUGUACAUAUCGCCCGUCGCUUUCGUUUAUAGAUGAAAUAAGUCGUAACAUAGUAAGUGUACUGGAAAGUGCCCUUAGAUUUA